CCUACGGGGGGCAGCAGUGAGGAAUAUUGGUCAAUGGACGCAAGCCUGAACCAGCCAAGUAGCGUGAAGGAAGAAUGCCCUACGGGUUGUAAACUUCUUUUAUAAAGGAAUAAAGGUGGGCACGUGUGCCUUUUUGUAUGUACUGUAUGAAUAAGGAUCGGCUAAUUCCGUGCCAGCAGCCGCGGUAAUACGGAGGGUCCGAGCGUUAUCCGGAUUUAUUGGGUUUAAAGGGAGCGUAGAUGGGUUGUUAAGUCAGGUGUGAAAGUUUGCGGCUCAACCGUAAAAUUGCAAUUGAUACUGGCAGCCUUGAGUACAGUUGAGGCAGGCGGAAUUCGUGGUGUAGCGGUGAAAUGCUUAGAUAUCACGAAGAACUCCGAUUGCGAAGGCAGCUUACUAAACUGCCACUGACAUUGAUGCUCGAAAGUGUGGGUAUCAAACAGGAUUAGAUACCCGAGUAGUC
rnacentral:rRNA from 1 species